GACGAACGCUGGCGGCGUGCUUAACACAUGCAAGUCGAACGCUGAAGCUCAGCUUUUGUUGGGUGGAUGAGUGGCGAACGGGUGAGUAACACGUGAGUAACCUGCCUCCUUCUUUGGGAUAACGCCCGGAAACGGGUGCUAAUACUGGAUAUUCACUGGUCUUCGCAUGGGGGUUGGUGGAAAGGGUUUUUCUGGUGGGGGAUGGGCUCGCGGCCUAUCAGCUUGUUGGUGGGGUGAUGGCCUACCAAGGCUUUGACGGGUAGCCGGCGUGAGAGGGUGACCGGUCACAUUGGGACUGAGAUACGGCCCAGACUCCGACGGGGGGCAGAAGUGGGGAAUAUUGCACAAUGGGCGUAAGCGUGAUGCAGCGACGACGCGUGAGGGAUGGAGGCCUUCGGGUUGUGAACCUCUUUCGCUAAUGGUCAAGCCGCAACAAUGGUUGUGGUGAGGGUAGUGGGUAAAGAAGCGCCGGCUAACUACGUG
rnacentral:rRNA from 1 species